rnacentral:sRNA from 1 species
UGAAAAACAAUCAUCGGGCUUGUGACGAA